AGUCGAACGGUAACAGGGACUUCGGUCUGCUGACGAGUGGCGAACGGGUGAGUAAUGCAUCGGAACGUACCGAGUAAUGGGGGAUAACGCAUCGAAAGGUGUGCUAAUACCGCAUACGCCCUGAGGGGGAAAGCGGGGGAUCGAAAGACCUCGCGUUAUUCGAGCGGCCGAUGCCGGAUUAGCUAGUUGGUGGGGUAAAGGCUCACCAAGGCGACGAUCCGUAGCAGGUCUGAGAGGAUGAUCUGCCACACUGGGACUGAGACACGGCCCAGACUCCUACGGGAGGCAGCAGUGGGGAAUUUUGGACAAUGGGGGCAACCCUGAUCCAGCCAUGCCGCGUGUCUGAAGAAGGCCUUCGGGUUGUAAAGGACUUUUGUCAGGGAGGAAAUCCCUAAGGUUAAUACCCUUGGGGGAUGACAGUACCUGAAGAAUAAGCACCGGCUAACUACGUGCCAGCAGCCGCGGUAAUACGUAGGGUGCAAGCGUUAAUCGGAAUUACUGGGCGUAAAGCGUGCGCAGGCGGUUUGAAAAGUCAGCUGUGAAAGCCCCGGGCUCAACCUGGGAACUGCGGUUGAAACUCUCAAGCUAGAGUGCGUCAGAGGGGGGUGGAAUUCCACGUGUAGCAGUGAAAUGCGUAGAGAUGUGGAGGAACACCAAUGGCGAAGGCAGCCCCCUGGGAUGACACUGACGCUCAUGCACGAAAGCGUGGGGAGCAAACAGGAUUAGAUACCCCUGGUAGUCCACGCCCUAAACGAUGUCGACUAGCCGUUGGAGAUUUCGGUUUCUGGUGGCGCAGCUAACGCGUGAAGUCGACCGCCUGGGGAGUACGGUCGCAAGAUUAAAACUCAAAGGAAUUGACGGGGGCCCGCACAAGCGGUGGAUGAUGUGGAUUAAUUCGAUGCAACGCGAAAAACCUUACCUGGUCUUGACAUGUACCGAACCUCGAAGAGAUUUGAGGGUGCCCGAAAGGGAGCGGUAACACAGGUGCUGCAUGGCUGUCGUCAGCUCGUGUCGUGAGAUGUUGGGUUAAGUCCCGCAACGAGCGCAACCCUUGUCAUUAGUUGCCAGCAUUAAGUUGGGCACUCUAAUGAGACUGCCGGUGACAAACCGGAGGAAGGUGGGGAUGACGUCAAGUCCUCAUGGCCCUUAUGACCAGGGCUUCACACGUCAUACAAUGGUCGGUACAGAGGGUCGCUAAGCCGCGAGGUAGUGCCAAUCUCAUAAAACCGAUCGUAGUCCGGAUCGCAGUCUGCAACUCGACUGCGUGAAGUCGGAAUCGCUAGUAAUCGCGGAUCAGCAUGUCGCGGUGAAUACGUUCCCGGGCCUUGUACACACCGCCCGUCACACCAUGGGAGUGGAAUCCGCCAGAAGUGGGUAGGGUAACCGUAAGGAGCCCGCUACC
rnacentral:rRNA from 1 species